GAAAUGCGAUAAGUAAUGUGAAUUGCAGAAUUCCGUGUAUCAUCGAAUCUUUGAACGCACAUUGCGCCCUCUGGCAUUCCGGGGGGGAUGCCUGUCCGAGCGUCAUUACGCACCCUCAAGCCCGGCUUGUGUGAUGGGCCCCGGCGUCUCGUUCGCGAGACGGGCCCGAAAGGCAGCGGCGGCGUCGACCCGAUGAGCCCGAGCGUAUGGGGACUUCUGUCACACGUUCGCGGUGCGGACCGGCGCCUGCUUGACUUUUCUGAUUAUCCAGGUUGACCUCGGAUCAGGUAGGGAUACCCGCUGAACUUAAGC
rnacentral:misc_RNA from 1 species